rnacentral:lncRNA from 1 species
CCCUACAUCCUCCCACAACAGAGAGAGAAGGUUCUGUUAGUGUUCCCUACAUCCUCCCACAACAGAGAGAGAAGGUUCUGUUAGUGUUCCCUACAUCCUCCCACAACAGAGAGAGAGAAGGUUCUGUUAGUGUUCCCUACAUCCUCCCACAACAGAGAGAGAGAAGGUUCUGUUAGUGUUCCCUACAUCCUCCCACAACAGAGAGAGAGAGAAGGUUCUGUUAGUGUUCCCUACAUCCUCCCACAACAGAGAGAGAAGGUUCUGUUAGUGUUCCCUACAUCCUCCCACAACAGAGAGAGAAGGUUCUGUUAGUGUUCCCUAUAUCCUCCCACAACAGAGAGAGAAGGUUCUGUUAGUGUUCCCUACAUCCUCCCACAACAGAGAGAGAGAGAAGGUUCUGUUAGAGUUCCCUACAUCCUCCCACAACAGAGAGAGAAGGUUCUGUUAGAGUUCCCUACAUCCUCCCACAACAGAGAGAGAAGGUUCUGUUGUUGUUCCCUACAUCCUCCCACAACAGAGAGAGAGAAGGUUCUGUUAGUGUUCCCUACAUCCUCCCACAACAGAGAGAGAGAGAAAGUUCUGUUAGUGUUCCCUACAUCCUCCCACAACAGAGAGAGAAGGUUCUGUUAGAGUUCCCUUCAUCCUCCCACAACAGAGAGAGAAGGUUCUGUUAGUGUUCCCUACAUCCUCCCACAACAGAGAGAGAAGGUUCUGUUAGAGUUCCCUACAUCCUCCCACAACAGAGAGAGAGAAGGUUCUGUUAGUGUUCCCUACAUCCUCCCACAACAGAGAGAGAAGGUUCUGUUAGAGUUCCCUACAUCCUCCCACAACAGAGAGAGAAGGUUCUGUUAGAGUUCCCUACAUCCUCCCACAACAGAGAGAGAGAAGGUUCUGUUAGUGUUCCCUACAUCCUCCCACAACAGAGAGAGAAGGUUCUGUUAGUGUUCCCUACAUCCUCCCACAACAGAGAGAGAG